UGAGGAAUAUUGGUCAAUGGGCGGAAGCCUGAACCAGCCAUGCCGCGUGCAGGACGACGGCCCUACGGGUUGUAAACUGCUUUUCCGGGGGUAAGAAUAACCCCCCGUGCGGGGGGGGUAUGCCGGUACCCCGGGAAUAAGGAUCGGCUAACUCCGUGCCAGCAGCCGCGGUAAUACGGAGGAUCCUAGCGUUAUCCGGAUUUACUGGGUUUAAAGGGUGCGUAGGCGGGCGUUUAAGUCCGCGGUUGAAAGUCUGCGGCUCAACCGUAGGAUUGCCGUGGAUACUGGACGUCUUGGAUUCGGUCGGGGUCGGGCGGAAUGCGUGGUGUAGCGGUGAAAUGCAUAGAUAUCACGCAGAACGCCGAUAGCGAAGGCAGCUCGCCGGGCCGAAAUCGACGC
rnacentral:rRNA from 1 species